UGGGGAAUAUUGGACAAUGGGCGCAAGCCUGAUCCAGCAAUGCCGCGUGAGUGAUGAAGGCCUUCGGGUUGUAAAGCUCUUUCGCACGCGACGAUGAUGACGGUAGCGUGAGAAGAAGCCCCGGCUAACUUCGUGCCAGCAGCCGCGGUAAUACGAAGGGGGCUAGCGUUGUUCGGAAUUACUGGGCGUAAAGGGCGCGUAGGCGGUGGAUCAAGUCAGGCGUGAAAGCCCCGGGCUCAACCUGGGAACCGCGCUUGAGACUGGUGCGCUAGAGUUCGGGAGAGGAUGGUGGAAUUCCCAGUGUAGAGGUGAAAUUCGUAGAUAUUGGGAAGAACACCGAUGGCGAAGGCAGCCAUCUGGACCGACACUGACGCUGAGGCGCGAAAGCGUGGGGAGCAAACAGGAUUAGAUACCCUGGUAGUCCACGCCGUAAACGAUGAGUGCUAGACGUCGGGGCCCUCGAGGGCUUCGGUGUCGCAGCUAACG
rnacentral:rRNA from 1 species